rnacentral:ncRNA from 1 species
GCUGCGAAAAACGGAGGCGUGCAAAGGUUUCCUCGGGCCAGACGGACAUUGGUCCUCGAGUGCAAAGGCAGAAGGGAGCUUGACUGCAAGACUCACCCGUCGAGCAGAGACGAAAGUCGGCCUUAGUGAUCCGACGGUGCCGAGUGGAAGGGCCGUCGCUCAAC